rnacentral:rRNA from 1 species
GUGGGGAAUUUUGGACAAUGGGCGCAAGCCUGAUCCAGCAAUGCCGCGUGCAGGAAGAAGGCCUUCGGGUUGUAAACUGCUUUUGUACGGAACGAAACGGUUCUGGUUAAUACCCGGGGCUAAUGACGGUACCGUAAGAAUAAGCACCGGCUAACUACGUGCCAGCAGCCGCGGUAAUACGUAGGGUGCAAGCGUUAAUCGGAAUUACUGGGCGUAAAGCGUGCGCAGGCGGUUGUGUAAGACAGGCGUGAAAUCCCCGGGCUCAACCUGGGAAUUGCGCUUGUGACUGCACGGCUGGAGUGCGGCAGAGGGGGAUGGAAUUCCGCGUGUAGCAGUGAAAUGCGUAGAUAUGCGGAGGAACACCGAUGGCGAAGGCAAUCCCCUGGGCCUGCACUGACGCUCAUGCACGAAAGCGUGGGGAGCAAACAGGAUUAGAUACCCCAGUAGUCC